rnacentral:SRP_RNA from 1 species
GCCGGUCAUGGUGGUGCACACCUGUAGUCCAAGCUACUUGAGAGGCUGAAGUGGGAGGAUUGCUUGAGUCCAGAAGUUCUGGGCUGCAGGGCGCUAUGACGAUCAGGUGUCCGCACUAGGUUCAGCAUUAAUAUGGUGACCUUCCAGGAGCGGGGGACCACCAGGUUGCCUAAGGAGGGGUAAACUGGCCCAGGUCAGAAAUGGAGCAGGUUAAAAAUCAAUAAAAAAAGAAACCACAAGAACUAUGCAAACAUAUGGAAAUUAAACAACACAUUCUU